rnacentral:rRNA from 1 species
CGGGUGAGUAACGCGUGGGUAACCUGCCUCAUACAGGGGGAUAACAGUUAGAAAUGACUGCUAAUACCGCAUAAGCGCACAGUACCACAUGGUACGGUGUGAAAAACUCCGGUGGUAUGAGAUGGACCCGCGUCUGAUUAGCUAGUUGGUGAGGUAACGGCUCACCAAGGCGACGAUCAGUAGCCGACCUGAGAGGGUGAUCGGCCACAUUGGGACUGAGACACGGCCCAA